rnacentral:rRNA from 1 species
UACGUAGGGUCCGAGCGUUAAUCGGAAUUAUUGGGCGUAAAGAGCUCGUAGGCGGCUUGUCGCGUCGGAUGUGAAAGCCCGGGGCUUAACUCCGGGUCUGCAUUCGAUACGGGCAGGCUAGAGUUCGGUAGGGGAGAUCGGAAUUCCUGGUGUAGCGGUGAAAUGCGCAGAUAUCAGGAGGAACACCGGUGGCGAAGGCGGGUCUCUGGGCCGAUACUGACGCUGAGGAGCGAAAGCGUGGGGAGCGAACAGG